GGAAGGGGCUGGGCUGGGCAGGACUUUAGAAGCCAAACAGAACCCAACAUCUGCUCCUGGAAGUGGCGAGGAGGCGGAUGGAGGGGGGCUGGAGGAUGGCGGGCCUGUGAGGUUUGGAGAAGGGGAUGGAACCAGCCAAGUCUGGGCCAGGCGAGUUUUCAGACAGCUACCGAGAGGUUCAGUGGGCAUCUGGAGAGUGGAACCUGAGGGCUGCAAAGAUCAUUUGUACAAAGAUGGCCACUGGGUUCUCAGAAACUAGGGACAACCGGAUGAAAUGACAGACGGACAAGAGUCCUAGAACUGAGCCCGGUGGGACUUGGAAGAAAGUGAGAACUACCAGAAGAGCCAAAGGGACCAAGAGAAGAAAAAGGAAUAUCAUGGGAAAGAGAACAAAAGCCAGGGAGGGAUGCAAAGGAAAGGGAGAUGAAGCCAUAGUUAUCAGGGAUAACGAGAACAAGUGAAGGUUUUUCUAAGGCUGGCAGAGCCAUGGGCAUCGGCACCAGGAAAGCAGCCCAGAGGGGAGAAAGUCUGAUGGAGAAGGUGGGACGCAGGGUGAAUUCACCUGUACUGGGAGGGGGCUCUGGCAAGGAAGAGGACCACCCCUUCCUGGGGGGGCAGCCAGGAAGGGAACAGAGGGCGCUUUUUCCAAGGGGUUGUUGGGGGUGGCUGUAGGGGAGAAGUCUUCAGGAGUAGGACGAGGCCCAUGUGUAAAAGGGCUGCCUUGCCGCAGUGCCAGCGUCAGUCCCUUCCCCUUCUCUGUGUGUGGGUGGUGGGCUCGGCAGCGAAGGGCAAGGACUCGCGGGGAUAGACAGCUGGUGGAGAGGUCACGAUGGGAGAAGCGUGAGCGCGCCCCCGAGCUCCCAGCCACACGAGACCCAAGGCAACGCGGAGGGACCCGCUCCGGCAGGAGCUGGUGGGCUCUGAAUGGAAAUUGAAGAACACCGUUUCUUGGCUUUGUUCUGUACGAGCACACAGUGGAGAAACUUGAGGUCACAAUGAAGGCAGCAGAGCUGAGAUAAGGGCAAAGGAAAGAAGAUGGGCGUGAUGGAAGACCGAUGGGUGACCGCGGGAGUGGAAUGUUUUGAGGUGAUGGCGAGAUUGGGGCUAUGGCUGUGGACAUGGAUGUGUGGGCUGAAGGAGGAGGUCAUGGGGAAUGAGAAAAUUGAGGAACUGAAAGGCAGGACAUUUGAGGGGAGGUCAGUAUGUCCAAGUCCCCUGGAGCCAGGAGAGAAAGACUGAGCUGAGAGGGAAGGACUGGGACCCAGCUCCAAGGUUCUGGACCAGUGCGGUGGUAGGGGAGUCUGCGCCCGAGUGCCAGCCCACCUAGCACAGAAAGGGAGGCCUUGUCGCUGCCAGUGACUUCAUUCUCCCCAUGAGAUUUUGGGCAGUCCUGUCCUGUUUUGGAGUGUUCCUCAAUCUUAUGUGACGCCCCCAUCACUGUGGCUCACAGUGCUGCAUUUUUAUGAAGCUUCCUGUGAGAGCAGCCUGUUCGGGUCCAGUCCAAAAGCACAGCGUGAGAACAGCCUCUGAAGGCAGGAGGCAGCGGGCUGGGAUUUGCAGAGAAAUGGCGAGCCGCGGCUCCUAGGACGGCUCCCGUUCUGGACCCUUUUCUCCAUCUGCUGAAGCUCUCUGCGUUAGCCCAACGAAGGCCUUUCCGAACACAGCCCAAGCAAUCAUUAGGAGUCACCUGGAGCCGGCACCAAGACCAGAAAAUCAGGAAUGACAAGGAGCGAUUUCAAGUUGGGACGAGGGGAGCGAAGGUGAGCUUUGAGGCAAAGGGGGCAGUCGGAGCCUGAUCCCCUGGUGGUGUGAGAGCACAUCUUCCUAUUAUUUUUGAUACUUGGUGAAAAGCUUUUCUUCUUCCUCUUUCAAACAAACAUGGACCUGAGCUUGGCGGGUAGACUAAGGCUGGACAAAUACAUGAGAAAAAAAACAAAGUGCCCUUUCUCUAGUCUUCUGCCUUUUCUUCUUGCUCCCAAUUAGAGGGUGGGCCGGGACAGGCGCAGGUCCUCCCCUCGACAUCAGUUUUUAUCCGAGCCCCUCUCUGCUCUCGGGCAGAAUGGGAUGGCGUGUAAAAGGGAUGAGAACCCUGGCCCUGCCUACCUUGGACACUGCCCCCAGCGAGAGGGGGCGGCCCAGCCCUUCUGAAGCAGCAGGGCCCAAGUUCAAAGAGUUCUUGGCAUGGUUUUACCACAGUCUCGUUGUGGAUGGCACAAAGGGGAGGGGGCCUCAUACCCUGACCCUGCUGCUAAUUUGCCCUGUGACCAGUCACAUCUCGGUUUCCUAGACAAGAUGGCCUCCGCAGCUGCUUCUGUUUUAAGAGUUUUCCCUCCUUGCACUUUAUCCACCAUGGAACUCUGGACACCACCAUUCUCUGGUACCAACUGGGCAUCUCCCCCCCAGCUUCCCACCCAGGGAUGCCCGAGCAAGAAAAGGCCUCAACUUCUUUUUCAUUUUUGUUUAUUUUUUUUAAAAAAGCCCCUAAAUUCUAUGGCUUCCAGGAAGCAUCAGAGAAAUGUAAAUGCCAUUUCUGUACACUUUGUAAAGCAGUAACUAAA